GGCGCCGUCACGACUGUGAAAAAUCCGGGUCGUGACAAUCAGCUUGUUCUUCUACCUGUCCACCUUUCUCUCUCAAACGCUUCUAUUGUUGCUAAACCUCCGAAAAAUUGUUGCAGCCUCUUUUCUCCAGAAUAUUCUCUUUGGUGAUGACCAACUACACCCGUUCUGAUUUCCUAAAUUGUCGUUUGUACUGAUGAAAAGACAAAGAACUUUCCCUUUCAUCGAUGUUACUAAUUGUCUUUGCAAAUCUCUAUGGCUUAUUUCUUCCAGAUUAGCCUGCGCCUCCGGAUUUCACCUCCGUCUUCUCUGCUUUGUCAGUAUGUUGCUCUUUUCUCUUUUUUCUGUUUUGUUUAUUGAUGAUGUUCUUCUUCUGUUAUGUUAAUUGAAAAAGAGAGAUACUUGGGGUUCUACAGUUUCAAUUGGUGCAGUGAAAUUCAUGCAUGUGUUGGUUUUGGUUGGAGUAAAUUUUUUUGUCUGAUUUUGAUAAUAAGGAUGAAUUACUCUAGGUUUUAUGCUAAAUAGGGAUCUCUUUGCUGAAAGUUUUAGGCUUUUCUCUGUUUUGACAAUCAGUAUGGUAUCUUUAAAUGCUUUCUGAGGAUUAGGGCAUAUGAUGAAAUGUUGGGUAUUUCAUUUUAAAGAAAACAUCUUCUCAGCGUAAAGAAUUAAUAAAUUCAUCUGCUUUUUCUUUUUUUAUUUCUUAUUUACGCUCUAUCUUGAGAUAGACAUAUUUAAGACGAGUGAUAAACUUACUUGAAAAAUAAUAUUUCAUCUUACUUUAUCAAUCUUUUAAUGAGACAGAUGGGUAAUACUAUUGCAAUAGUUGAAGUAAAGUAAGUUGAUUUGGGUGCUUUCGGCUAAUGAUAGAUUAGAAGUAUGGAAUGUAUUCAUUUCGAUCUUUUAAUGCAUGCUAGGAAACUGUUGCUAGAGGAAGCUGCAUUUCCUCUAUCUUUUAAUUAUAAUUUUUCAUAGGAUCAUUAUAUACAAAACUAAGUAAUUUCUUCAUUGAGCUUCAGUUUCUGAUCGUAAUUUUUUUGGCUGUUUGAUUCAGAUUUUCUCAAUUAAAUUUAAACUCAAUAAAAUAAUUUUUCUUAGGGAACCUUCAUUUCGGGCGAAUAAUUUUUGUUAUUGUUACUAAUCUAAUAUUUUGGGUCCAAUUAUGUUUGAAUAAUAAAAUGAAUAUCUUCUAUAGGGUCUGAGGCUAUGUUUUUCUUGAGAAAUAAUAAGUUGAAAAUUUUGAAUUUCAGGAUGAGUGUUUUAGUACUUAUAGAUUCUAGGAUGAGUGCAUGCUCUAUAGAACUAACAACUAUAUGAGAUGAUAAAUCUAAGACGAAACUUGACAAAAAGCUUAACCGUAUAAACAUUACCAACUAGAAUUCAACUCCAUCUGGCAGAAUCUACAAAAACAUAUCAGCCUGUUAAUAAUUUAUAGGCUUCUCGCUUCUUUUUCUAUUUUAUUCUUUCAGAUGAAAUGAGAGAAAUUUAGAUUUUUUUUUUCCAACCGAAAGUAUUAUAGUACUUUAUUUUAUAGCAGAUGUAAUAUUUUUGUUCUAAAGAACACAAGCCAAAAGAUCACACUGUAAUUGAUAUUCAGAAUAUAUAGGAUAACAAAAAAGCAGAGAAAAAAAUACGAAAAUAAAUGCAGAAUAAGAUUUCUUAUUAUUUUGGUAGAGUUGAAUGUUAUUUCAUCAUAAUACCAUAUUUUGAUGAUAUUUAUCAGGCAUAAUGCGUUUUAAUGAUGAUAUCAUUUUUUAUUCACAAGUUGAAGUAAAUGUGCAUGUAUUUCUCCUGCUAUUAACAGUAAGCAUAAUCAUCCGAUUCUACAUUGUUUCAGAGGACUUCAUCAUAUCCUCUCACUUCAGGGAUUGCAAGAUAGGAAGUCACACCUGUUGACUCCGGGAAUAUGUUAUAGGAGGAGUUCUAGUGGUGGUUGCUCUUCGAAAUGUAGAGAUAUUAUUGCAUAGAGUUAAAGCUGUAGUAGAUUUAUUUUAUUCAAUACCAAAUGGUGCACACACAGAAGACAUGAACGUUUAACUCACACAAAACAAGACCUAUGCAUCGCACUUUAGGUGAGUUGAAUGGGAUUUCAUGAACUGAGUCUUCUUUCUCUCGCUCCUUCAUUGCACUCACUUAAUCUCUCUCUUUUCCCUAUUCUUUUCUUUUGUUUUAUGUUCUACAUAUGAUAAAAGAUGUAUACUGCAUUUGCGCUUAAUAUAUUUUUCAGUUCCUUUCUUAUGAGCAUGUACUAUAAUGCAAAAUAUGUGUAUUGACAAUGCUCAACAUGGAAUUUUGCAUGUUUUUUAGCAGAAAUGUUCAACAAAUAAGUGCAUCUCUUGACCAGCUGUUACUACUCUCAAAAUAAGUAAAUUUUUUCAGCAGUCCUCUCACAUGUUAUUUCCUUUCAUUUCAGGUGUCUUAGACCUACGUUUCUAUUGGAUGCUAACGCGAGUGACGCACCUGUUUUCGGUUAUUUUUUGUGCAUUGGUCUUGAGAAAGCUAUUAGGGUAUAUAACAGUGCUAGAAUUUCUUUGAGUAAGAUACUCAGUUUUAGGUGUGCAUAUGUUCUGUAUGUUAGAAACAUAUUUGAAUCUUUUUUAAUUUUAUACCAUUUUAUAACUACAAAGUUCUAUUGUGGCUAAUUCAUAAAAAUUAAGUUAUCAUAUCUAACCCUCUAUGGCGCUAUAUUGUCGAUCUCAAUUUACUCUGUCAGUCAUAUGACUUGCAACCUUUGUUGCAAAACUAUAGAUAGGGGAUGAGCGGUUCUAUUGUUAUGAGCGGGCCAGCUAUUUAAUAAUUUGGUGAAAGAAUCAUCUUAUGACGUGAAUCAACUUCCAUAAGUUGUUGCUGGUGUUACUCAAUGGAUGCGUUCAGUAUUGAAGAACUGGAGAAUGAUAAUGAAAC
rnacentral:lncRNA from 1 species